rnacentral:tRNA from 1 species
GGGCUGGAAGCAUUGGCGGUGAUGCAGGGGACUUUUAAUCCUCAGAACGGGGUUCAACUCCCUGGCAGCCCA